UUGUGUAGUUUUGGGCCGAUUUGGGUAAUUCUAUGGACCGGAGUGGGGGGACGUGGACGUGCGGCAGCUGUCCUCUUCGGUCAACGAUAUUUACCGUCUCGUAUAUAAUUGCCAAAAUGGCAGGUAAUGCUUGGAGGAACUGUCAGGUGUGCGAGAACCGGUUUGACGCGUAUCGUCGUGUUCCCGUUGCCCUUCCUGCCUGUGGCCAUACGUUCUGCAGACGGUGUCUUGUUAAGAUCCGUAAUCUCACACAUGCCAUAAAUUGCCCGCUCUGCAGGAGGCGUCAUGAAGGACCUGAACCGGAAGACCUGCCUGUCAAUAGGCUCGUUAUGGACCUCUUAGAAUCUGAUGCACAGGAAAGUGAUAGUGAUAACAGCAGCAGCAAGUACUCGAAGAAGAGCAAGUACCCCGACAAGAGACGCGUUUCCACUCCUAAGGAGCAGAUGCCUUUGGGCUUAAAGAUUGUGGGGUAUGGAUUAGCUGCUGUUGCUGGUGGUAUUGGUGCCGUGCUUGCUGCAUCGGUUGCCUUAACAGAUAGAUACACAGACUGGGAGAGAGGAGCCUUGCUAGGUCUACUCAGGCCUGUCCCCGAGGCCAGUGGGGAAACUGUCAGCUGUAUCACCCCUCCUUGCUAACCAUCUUGUAAUCAGACUUGCUGUCGGCUUUAGAUCAGCAGGCAUUGCCGGUGGCUCCAUAGCUGCAAGCAUGAUGUCUUCUGCUGCCAGAGCUAAUGGUGGAGCAAUUGCUGCAGGCAGCUUGGUGGCAGUACUACAGUCAGCUGGUGCAGCAGGGAUUGGUGCAGCUGCAACAGCUACCUUAGCAGGGGCUGGAGCUACCGUAGGUGUCGGAGUUGCUAAGGCCAUUGAUGUCUAAACA
rnacentral:misc_RNA from 1 species